CAUGCAUUGAGGAAGCGGGGGAAGUGUGUGGAAUGGAAGCGGCCGUGGAACGCGGAGCCAUCAGAAUGGAACUCAGUGUGAUUGCUCUGCUAAUCCAGGUGAACAUAAAAUGGUUUCCACACAAAAAACAGCAACAGAUAUUAAAAAUUGUACUUCACCUUCCUCUUUUCACUUCAGGCCUGCCAGCAGAACCCUGCACCCUGACAUGAACAGCUUGAACAGUGACUGUUGAUAAAUCAAGCAGUAUAUUUAAAACAAAUUUGACUUUUGGACCCUCCUGGGAAAACAGAUGUGCUCCACAGCAAUGAGAAAAGUCAACUUAUUUCAACAUCUAUAUUCUCUAUGAAGCAACAUCACAGAUACAAGUAUAACCUUGAUUAGCCAGUUGGGAAGGAAUACCCCAAACUUCAGAUAAUUGAGUGAGCUGAAUCUGCAUUCAGGAUCUCCUGAUCCAAUCUACUUCUCUCAGAAGUUUAUUUUCAACAGUCUUUUAUGCAAAUGA